rnacentral:ncRNA from 1 species
GAUAGAGGCGCGGAUAUGAUGAGUACUCCACGGUAUACGUCGGCAAACGGCGGUGGGGGAAAGGCUGUUCCGCCGAAGUGGUUUUGCGGUUGCCGCCGCGGGGCUGCUGGGGUCGCGCUUAAUAGGCGCGGCACUGUCGCAUAUUUUUGCGGAGAGCUAUCAU